AUUGAACGCUGGCGGCAGGCCUAACACAUGCAAGUCGAACGAGUGGCGGACGGGUGAGUAAUGUCUGGGAAACUGCCCGAUGGAGGGGGAUAACUACUGGAAACGGUAGCUAAUACCGCAUACCAUCGGAUGUGCCCAGAUGGGAUUAGCUAGUAGGUGGGGUAACGGCUCACCUAGGCGACGCUCCCUAGAUGGGCUGAGAGGAUGACCAGCCACACUUGAACUGAGAAAAGGGCCGGACUCCUACGGGUGGCAGGAGUGGGGAAGAUUGGACAAAGGGCUCAGUCCUGAUGCAGCCAUGCCGGGUGUAAGAAGAAGGGCGUCGGGUUGUAAAGUACUUUCAGCGAGGAGGCGUUACUCGCAGAAGAAGCACCGGCUAACUCCGUGCCAGCAGCCGCGGUAAUUC
rnacentral:rRNA from 1 species